rnacentral:misc_RNA from 1 species
UUUGUCAUGAGUCCAUGGCCACUCGCUUUGCUCCUUCUUCUUACAUUCAUAGUUGUCAACUUAAGCAUUCAACUACACCUGCUGUUCUUCUUAAUUCUUUUAGUGGAAGAAAACCCCCUUACAACACACUUGUAUUCCAGGCUGUCAGGCUCUUGGGCCCUCCAGCAAGAUUCGAAGCUUCAAAGCUGGAAGUCUUGUUAAAAGGAGAAGAAGUUGAUACAUACUCAAGUAUCGUGCCAAGGACGUACACAUUAUCCCAUUGUG